AACCUACCAUGCAUUGCUAAUAUAUUAGACCUACAGGAUAGUUUAAAUACAUGUUUGUAUGUAUGAUGAUCUUUUGCAGGUAUGGCAUACAUUUGUCCAAAGAUCUGGUCAGGAGUCCUGGCUGUGCUUCCCCCCAGCUGCUUGUGCACCUGCUUGCUGACAGAGCAUGGGAAACUUUGAAAAAUCCUUGACUUAGGGUCAUAAUGUCAUAUGCAAUGCAGACAACUAAUGCUCACUGCUGUAAGAAUUGAACUCAGCCCAAUCUUCAUCUGUCAAGUGGGAUGUAAUGCUCUUGCUUUUCCAAUCAUAACAGGUAGCAAGUGCUCUUUUAUGAAUCUUCCCAAGCAGGUAAGAACUCCAGUUCCAAUGGUUUAACUGUCAUUAGCAAUAAAAGUGUACUGAUUGAAAGGAAAUUUUUUUUAAGGCAGUGGUAGCAUCCUAUUAUAGUAAAUUGUUAGGAAGGAAAGGAAAAAGAGAAUUAAAACUUGAUCUUAAGAACUGCUUAUCUGGCUUUAGACCUGGGAAUGUUUUAAUAAAAUGUCUUUCAAGGUUUUGUUGGUACUACCAUUUAAGCACAUGAUUAGCUAUUCUACUAGUUCUAAAGAAAUCAGUAAG